GCUAGUAACCUCAUUUUAACUUAGUUACAUCUAUCAAACCUGUCUCCAAAUAUACCCACCUUUUGAGAUACUGGGGAUUAGGACUUCAAUACACGAAUUUGGUGGUGGUGGGGGGUCAUAAUUCAGUCCAAGACUCAUGUAUAUUGUUUAUGUUUUCCCUGCUAAAAUGUAAGUACCAUGGUGGAGAAGACCUUUUCUAUCUUGUCUGAUAUCCAAAGCACUUAGGUUGAUAGCUGGUAAGAGUUAGUACUCAAUAAGCUUUUGCUCAAUAAAUGAAUAGGCUUGACUAGUGAAUUAUAUGACUUGAUUACUGAUAACAUGUGAAAGCAAGGCAGAGAAAAUGUCUUGAAUGUUUCCCAGGUUUGUAGUUUAGAAGACUGAAAGGCUAGUGGUAUCCUUAAACAUGAUAGGCAGCACAAGAAAAAAUCAGGAUUUGGGAGAAAAGCUUUAGACAUGCUGAGUGAGAAAUACCUGAAAUAUAUUCAGGUGGAAAAAUUAAGAAGACCUGUAGAUAUAUGGCCUGGAAUGGAAUGAAGAGAUCUUGGUCAAACACAUAGAUUUGGGCUCAUCAAUUUAUGGGGAGUAGUAAAAUCUAGAUAGCAGAUGAGAUUAUUCAAAAAGAACAUGCAUAGGAAGAAGCCUAGUACAGAAACAGGAAAAACACUAAUGUUUAAAGGUUGAGAGGGGAAAGCAAAGCUUGUUUGAGAAGUGUCAGGAGGCAGGAAGAAAGGAAGAAGUGAGGAAUCAGAAUCAAAGGGGAAAAGAUAUUGAAUGGAAUGAUCACCUAUGUCAAGGGAUAAGGUAUUUCUCAAAGACUGUUUCAAGGAAUAACCUUUCCAUGAUUUACUCCUUGGAAAAAGUGGUCAAUUUAGUGAGAUAAAUGCUGAAAUUUACAUACUUCUCUUGCAGAAUCCCCUAAAACAUUAGCAUAAUAAUGUCUCUGAGAAAUCUUGCUUUACAGAAACACAUACAUUUUAAUUUCCAAAUUAAAGUUUCCAAAGCUCAUGAUUUGGGCAAAUAUCUUUCCCUUUUCCCCCCUACGUAACAACUAUUAAUAAUAGUACAGAGAACUGGAUCCCAAGGAACACUCUUUGUGAAACCAUGUUAUCACAUAAACAGGUAAACAUUGAGAGGAUUCCUCUGCAUUUGACAAUUAGGGACCUUGUCUGAGUGGUUUCCAUAAAGUGGUGGGGCCUUAAGGGUGAAUAGGGAGGGACAGAAUUAAAGCAGUAGGCAUAAUCUGCUCCUUCUAUAAGCUUGAUCUCAAAGAAGAGGAAGAAGAUAGGGCAGUGUCUUGGGUGGAUGGUUGUGUAAGGCUAUAUAAUUAUUUUUUAAUGGAAAGGAUAUGACUAGGUUUAUAGAUAGUAGAGAGAUUGAGGAAUAGUAGCAAGAGGAGUUCAACAAACAAUAAUCAAUAGUAAAAAAGGUCUACAAGGAGAAGGGAGAAACUAAAAUCAGGAGAGGUUUCUUCCCUUUUCUGGAGACUGGAGAAAAUGAAAGAAGAGGCUGCAGUGGUAGAUGCAGGGUAAGAGGUUGUGGAAGCCCAUGAUAGGCUUCAGUUUCUCAGACAAGAACAUGUGUUCAGAAUUUGUCUUUGGUGCUGAAACAAAGGUGCCCUCCCUUUCUUUCCCCUCCACCCAAAAAAGGUCACGUAUGAUAUCGCUCAUGUAAAAAUCCUUUCUAAAUGUCAUGAUUAUUAUGCUAUGGUCAGAGCAUCACCUCUUUUUUGUGCCACUAUAUAGGCAUCAUUGUUCUGACCUUUAAUCGUCUGGUUUCCUUCAGGUCUCUGCUUCUGGAGCAGACUUAUUUUAUGCAUUUCUGUUUCCUACUACCUUUUACAGAGUGGUGUGUUAUAAACAUUGAUUAGUGAGUGACAGUCAGCAUCCCAAUCCAUCCUCAACUGAGAAUUCAGUUAAUUGCCUUAUUAUAAAUUGAAGAAUCCUAGUACCAGGGUUUAGCUACACAAUUCAGUUCUGUACACUUUCAGUGGUAAAUCUUAUCUAGAAUUUUGUCCUGAUCUUAUUUCUUUACAUUCAGUUUUCAUGAUUCAUGCCCAGCUUAGUUGAUUUUUAUCCAAGAUUGCUCUACCUGGUUGUCCCAAAGUGUGCUAUCUUUGUAUAUAAAACACUUAUCAGAGUGCAAGAUACAAAGCAAGUUUAAUAAAUGGUGGUGGUCAUUAUUACCGUUAUAUGGGAUUCAACUCAACCAAGGAGAGCUACAUUCCCAAGGUUGCAGUUUUAUAUUUCUCGAUUGUCUACAUAGUCUUCUAGAUCUUGCCCUUUCUGUGCACAUUUUCUUUAAUAUUUUCCCCUUAUGAACUAUGUAGUCCUUUUCAUCCCACGGUUUAAUUGUUAACACCAAAUCUUUCAUUUGCAUUUAUUUAUUUAAUUUACUUACUUAAUAUACAUAUUUAUACUUCAACAUUUUCCCUAGCCAGCAUUUAUCAUCUUUCAUUUUUCCAUAUUUCAGGCACUCCAAAAUGUCAUUCUUUUAUUCAUUUCUUCUCCAAUGAUCAGUUACCAAUAAGCCUGAAAGCCAUCAUUGUAAAAUUUCCAUGUACACAGCAAUACUUCUUUGUUGGGCACUUAUUAUGUACUACUUACUAUUCCUGGUAUUGAAGACACAAGCAUGGUAAAUUAAAAAAUAGUCACCAUCUAUAUGGAGCUCACAUUCUAGUGAAAGAGUUAGACAAUAAACAAUUCAGAAUUAGAUAACUAAUGAACUUGUAAACAUUAGUUUCUUAGGUGGGUCACCAGACAGUAGAAAACUAACUUAUAAAGAAUGUGUGGCUUGGGUAGAAAAUAUUUCUGGAGCAAAGAAAGUAUAGGCAAGCUGUAUCUGAUAUUCUAGACUAACGAAGUGAAGGAAGAUUAUUAGGUCAUGUAGUAUAAUAAACCUAUCAGGACCUACAAUGGAAAGACUUAAAAUGUGAUUAACCAGGCAACAUGAGGAUGAUGGUGGGUAAUUGGAGUUAUGACCAUUUUGGUGAAUUCUGUCACUAUUGCCUGAAAGCAGCCUUGCUUAAGAGUUGUUGCUGAUAACCUGCUAGGGAUCAGAGUUUGUUUUGUUGGGAUGUCAGUAGAGGUGGAAGGCAUUUGUAAAACAUACUUUAUGACUUGGAUUUUCUUUUAGAUUUUUAAGCAGACAGGCAUUUCUCAUUUUGCAGAUGAAGGCAGCUCACUCCCUAAUGGAUUCCAGAACCUCACCCUAUUUCAGUAGAAAAAGUCUAUUGGAAAAAUUAUUACUUCAAUUAUGAAGAUGCUGAGCUUUUGGUGUUUAUGGAAUCUUCAGUAAGAAAUUGUCACUUAGUACUUCGAUAUGUAGACCUAGAGUUUCAGAGGGGAUUGGGAGUUUCAGGGGGGAAUCUUGGUUGGAGAAAGAAUAUUUGGUAUUGUCUUACCCAAUGGGAAUGAGUGCGAUUGCCCAGAAAAGGUGUGCUGCAUUUUACAAUGUUUAGAGUAGAUUCCAGAUAGGGAAAGAAGUGACAGUGGAAAGGGGCUAACUGUGAGAAAGUUGAGAGGGUCAUUGGAUUAGCGAUCUGGUUAAGAUAAAGAGUUGGCAUAAGGAGAAUAACUGAGUAAGAGAAAUUGAAGAGUGAAAAGUAAAAGUUUGUAUUCAGAGAGUGGGGUGACUGAAUUUAAUCUUUUAAAUCUGGAACUAUUCUGUGUAAAACAGUUUUGGGCAUGCCUGGGGAUGACUGGAAGUGAGGAGAGGUCCUGUGGAAAGGAUUGUUAGGGAGGGCACAAAAAGUGGAAUCACAGAGCAGUGAUCGCCAUGAAGCUACAAAGAGAUUAAGCCAGGGAGGGGCUUAGAUGUCAGAAGGCAAGUGAGGAUACCGGAAAUGCGAGGUAUGAUGAGCUACGGAAUUGAGAAGACAACUGGCCACAGCUAUCCUCUGCAGAGAAGACGGGCAAGAGGCACUUAGGUUCUUCUAGAGCCAGUCACAGCCUGCAUGGAAUUUUGGUUGUUGAGGUUGUGGCAAUGCAGAUAUCUGUGGGUCUUCACUGCAUUGGUUCUGGGGUCAAAGUUGUUAGUGUUAGACUUUGUACUAGGGCUGCUGCAUGGACUCCAGGAGCUGUACACAGUGCAAGUUAAAGGAAUCCAUGUUAUCUGUUAUCGUUAAGCCCCUUCAAGUGUGUCAUCUCAUGGGUUUUUUUUACAAGCUCAGACUGGGGUUGGGAAGCAGGGCUAUAUCCAUUUCCAGAUGCCCUAUGGAGGGAAUGGAGAUAAGGAGUUGAAAAUGGAGAAUGAGAACUAUUUGGUGCAUCUUGUGUUGAGUUGGAGGAUUGAAUCAAUGCUAGGAAUGAAGUCAGAGCCAGGUGAGGGACCAGAAGUCACUUCAAAAAUUACUAAAACAAGGAGGUAAAAUUAGAGGAUUAGAAGAUCACAUGUAUCCCAGAUAUACGAUAGAAUGGCUAGAUAGAGAGUGGGUAAGAAACAAGGUCUAGUUAUUAGGGUGAAAGUAAAGGUGGGGUUUGGUUAUAUGGCAUAUAGUAUAGGGUUGGUUUGGUAUUAACAGUAUGCCUUCUUAUUUGCAGAAGGCAUACAAUUAAAAAACAAAACAAAACAUGGCUACAUUGGACCAAUUAACUCUUGUCACCUUGUGACCAGUAAGAUGACCUUGAAUAAUCUGUUAAAAUCUAUGGCACUCUGUCUUCUCAUGUGUAAAAAUUAAGCUAUUGGCUCAGGUGAUCUCUGAAGUUUCCAAUAGCUCUGCGAUACUACAUCAUUUAUUUUGCCUUAUUCAGGUUCCAUCUGUCCUCCAACAACCCCCGGAAUCCCCUCUAGGGCCCCAAAUUGCACUGACGAGGUCCACUGCCUUCAGGCAAGGCCAGCUCUACUUUCUUCCUAACAGACAUUUGGGGAGAAAUAAUACAUAUCCUUCUGGAAAGUGAAUGACCUAAUUUCUCUAGAACAGAAUGUGACUGUAUUGUUUACAUUUGGUUUUAUUUUUGUUACCAGGCAAUCAGUAUCGAGCCUGUUGGAAUGAUAUAUGCCAGCUGGGUUUUGUGCCUCAUCACACUGGCAGAGAGAAGAGUAUGAAGCUUGGAGGAGUGGAGGAGGCUGAAAAGGAGGCAAAGGGUGAGGACAGAGAGACAAGAUGGAAGUGGGGGAGAAAAACAAGGAUGAGAGAAUGCCAGGUGGUGCUGAGAAGGACAGGAGAGACUUUUCUGCUUGUAAAGGGCACACAAUGGCAGAAUCCAGCUAUGCAGAGGCAUCUGGCUCCAGAAAUAACAGGCCACUUAGCACUCACUCCUUCAAAACGGGACGGAGGGACAAAAUACCAAGAAGGAACCAGAUUCUGCCAGUUACAGAGUGUUGACAACACGCUGUCAUGCUGAAAAGGCACACUCAACUCCAGAAAAAUACCAAAUGAAAGUUAAAGAACCUAAGUGUUUCCAAGAUAAGAGAGACAAGGAGCCUCCCGUGAGCUAUAUGAAGUCGAAGGAAAGAUCAUGGAGGAAAAGAAGAUUCGCUGUCUUCAAACAAACACAAGAGAAUGGUUACUUUUACAGUGGUGCCCCCUAGUGCCGAUCGGAUUAGACUCACUUUCUAUAUUUGCCAAAAUACCACACAAGAGAAGCCAAAUUUGGAGAGUUGACAAUGUUGGUAACUUUUCCUGCAUUUUCUUUAGCGUAGGAGAGAAUGAAG